UACGUAGGGGGCAAGCGUUGUCCGGAAUCAUUGGGCGUAAAGCGCGUGUAGGCGGCCCGGUAAGUCUGGUGUGAAAACUUGAGGCUCAACCUCAAGCUGUCAUCGGAUACUGUCGGGCUUGAGUCUGGAAGAGGAGAGUGGAAUUCCUGGUGUAGCGGUGAAAUGCGCAGAUAUCAGGAGGAACACCUAUUGCGAAGGCAGCUCGCUGGGACGUAACUGACGCUGAGGAGCGAAAGCGUGGGGAGCGAACAGG
rnacentral:rRNA from 1 species